UACGUAGGGGGCAAGCGUUGUCCGGAUUUAUUGGGCGUAAAGAGCGUGUAGGCGGCUAGGUAGGUCCGUUGUGAAAACUCGAGGCUCAACCUCGAGACGCCGGUGGAAACCAUCUAGCUAGAGUCCGGAAGAGGAGAGUGGAAUUCCUGGUGUAGCGGUGAAAUGCGCAGAUAUCAGGAAGAACACCCGUGGCGAAGGCGGCUCUCUGGGACGUGACUGACGCUGAGACGCGAAAGCGUGGGGAGCGAACCGG
rnacentral:rRNA from 1 species